AACUAAGCCGCGGGCAAAGCCGCGCCCAAAAAUAAGCGCCCGAAGGUCGUGGUGCCAAAACCCCCCAGCGGAAAAAUGGCCAAAAAACGGGUGGGCUAUAGCCUUGGUGGGGGGCGCGGGCGAAGUUCGUCCGCUGGACUCGGAAUGGGGCGAGACUUUGGAAGGGGCUUCGGGGUGCCAAAAAUAAGCCGCGGGCAAAGCCGCGCCCAAAAAUAAGCGCCCGAAGGUCGUGGUGCCAAAACUCCCCAGCGGAAAAAUGGCCAAAAAACGGGUGGGCUAUAGCCUUGGUGGGAGGUGCGGGCGAAGUUCGUCCGCCGGACUCGGAAUGGGGCAAGACUUUGCGAGGGGCCUCGGGAUGCCCGCGGUAAGUCUUGGGCACAGCCGCGCCGAAAAAUAAGCGCCCGAAGGUCGUGGUGCCAAAACCCCCGAGCGGAAAAAUGGCCAAAAAACGGGGGGGUUAUAGCCUUGGUGGGGGGGGCGGGCGAAGUUCGUCCGCCGGACUAGGAAUGGGGCGAGACUUUGCGAGGGGCCUCGGGGUGCCCGCGGGAAGCAGCGGGAACAGCCGCGCCCAAAAAUAAUGGCCGAAGGUCGUGGUGCCAAAACCCCCCAGCGGAAAAAUGGCCAAAAAUUGGGUGGGCUAUAGCCUUGGUGGGGGGCGCGGGCGAAGUUCGUCCGCCGGACUCGGAAUGCGGCGAGACUUUGCGAGGGGCACCGGGGUGCCCACGGGAAGUCGUGGGCACCGCCGCGCCCAAAAAUAAGCGCCCGAAGGUCGUGGUGCCAAAACCCCCGAGCGGAAAAAUGGCCAAAAAACGGGUGGGCUAUAGCCUUGGUGGGGGGCGCGGGCGAAGUUCCCCCGCCGGACUCGGAAUGAGGCAAGAAUUUGCGAGGGGCCUCGGGGUGCCAAAAAUAAGCCGCGGGCAAAGCCGCGCCCAAAAAGAAGAACCCGAAGGUCGUGCUGCCAAAACCCCCCAGCGGAAAAAUGGCCAAAAAACGGGUGGGCUAUAGCCUUGGUGGGGGGCGCGGGCGAAGUUCAUCCGCCGGACUCGGAAUGGGGCGAGACUUUGCGAGGGGCCUCGGGGUACCAAAAAUAAGCCGUGGGCAAAGCCGCGCCCAAAAAUAAGCACCCGAAGGUCGUGGUGCCAAAACCCCCCAGCGGAAAAAUGGCCAAAAAACGGGUGGGCUAUAGCCUUGGUGGGGGGCGCGGGCGAAGUUCGUCCGCCGGGCUCGGAAUGGGGCGAGACUUUGCGAGGGGCCUCGGGGUGCCCGCGGGAAGUCGCGGGCACAGCCACGCCCAAAAAUAAGCACCCGAAGGUCGUGGUGCAAAAACCCCCCAGCGGAAAAAUGGCCAAAAAACGGGUGGGCUAUAGCCUUGGUGGGGGGCGCGGGCGAAGUUCGUCCGCCGGACUCGGAAUGGGCCGAGACUUUGCGAGGGUCCUCGGGGUGCCCGCAGGAAGUCGCGGGCACAGCCGCGCCCAAAAAUAAACGCCCGAAGGUCGUGGUGCCAAAACCCCCCAGCGGAAAAAUGGCCAAAAAACGGGUGGGCUAUAUCCUUGGUGGGGGGCGCGGGCGAAGUUCGUCCGCCGGGCUCGGAAUGGGGCGAGACUUUGCGAGGGGCCUCGGGGUGCCAAAAAUAAGCCGCGGGCAAAGCCGCGCCCAAAAAUAAGCGCCCGACGGUCGUGGUGCCAAAACCCCCCAGCGGAAAAUGGCCAAAAAACGGGUGCCGCUAUAGCCUUGGUGGGGGGCGCGGGCGAAGUUCGUCCGCCGGACUCAGAAUGGGGCGAGACUUUGCGAGGGGCCUCGGGGUGCCAAAAAUAAGCCGCGGGCAAAGCCGCACCCAAAAAUAAGCGCCCGAAGGUCGUGGUGCCAAAACCCCCCAGCGGAAAAAUGGCCAAAAAACGGGUGGGCUAUAGCCUUGGUGGGGGGCGCGGGCGAAGUUCAUCCGCCGGACUCGGAAUGGGGCGAGACUUUGCGAGGGGCCUCGGGGUACCAAAAAUAAGCCGUGGGCAAAGCCGCGCCCAAAAAUAAGCACCCGAAGGUCGUGGUGCCAAAACCCCCCAGCGGAAAAAUGGCCAAAAAACGGGUGGGCUAUAGCCUUGGUGGGGGGCGCGGGCGAAGUUCGUCCGCCGGGCUCGGAAUGGGGCGAGACUUUGUGAGGGGCCUCGGGGUGCCAAAAAUAAGCCGCGGGCAAAGCCGCACCCAAAAAUAAGCUCCCGAAGGUCGUGGUGCCAAAACCCCCCAGCGGAAAAAUGGCCAAAAAACGGGUGGGCUAUAGCCUUGGUGGGGGGGACGGGCGAAGUUCGUCCGCCGGACUCGGAAUGGGGCGAGACUUUGCGAGGGGCCUCGGGGUGCCCGCGGGAAGUCGCGGGCACAGCCACGCCCAAAAAUAAGCACCCGAAGGUCGUGGUGCAAAAACCCCCCAGCGGAAAAAUGGCCAAAAAACGGGUGGGCUAUAGCCUUGGUGGGGGGCGCGGGCGAAGUUCGUCCGCCGGACUCGGAAUGGGCCGAGACUUUGCGAGGGUCCUCGGGGUGCCCGAAGGAAGUCGCGGGCACAGCCGCGCCCAAAAAUAAACGCCCGAAGGUCGUGGUGCCAAAACCCCCCAGCGGAAAAAUGGCCAAAAAACGGGUGGGCUAUAGCCUUGGUGGGGGGCGCGGGCGAAGUUCGUCCGCCGGGCUCGGAAUGGGGCGAGACUUUGCGAGGGGCCUCGGGGUGCCAAAAAUAAGCCGCGGGCAAAGCCGCGCCCAAAAAUAAGCGCCCGACGGUCGUGGUGCCAAAACCCCCCAGCGGAAAAAUGGCCAAAAAACGGGUGGGCUAUAGCCUUGGUGGGGGGCGCGGGCGAAGUUCGUCCACCGGACUCGGAAUGGGGCGUGACUUUGCGAGGGGCCUCGGGGUGCCCCCGGGAAGUCGCGGGCACAGCCGCGCCCAAAAAGAAGCGCCCGAAGGUCGUGGUGCCAAAACCCCCCAGCGGAAAAAUGGCCAAAAAACGGGUGGGCUAUAGCCUUGGUGGGGGGCGCGGGCGAAGUUCGUCCGCCGGACUCGGAAUGGGGCGAGACUUUGCGAGGGGCGUCGGGGCGCCAAAACUAAGCCGCGGGCAAAGCCGCGCCCAAAAAUAAGCGCCCGAAGGUCGUGGUGCCAAAACCCCCCAGCGGAAAAAUGGCCAAAAAACGGGUGGGCUAUAGCCUUGGUGGGGGGCGCGGGCGAAGUUCGUCCGCCGGGCUCAGAAUGGGGCGAGACUUUGUGAGGGGCCUCGGGGUGCNN
rnacentral:lncRNA from 1 species